CCCUGUUUUCCCUGAAUAAAAUGAUAUAUAAUAAGGGUGGGUGCAUUUACUAUGAAAGAGGUGAAUUACGGUUGGACAGACAUGUAGCGCAAAUUCCAGGUUUUGUUUACGUUUUGUUUUGUUAACAAUGUGUACAUUUGGCUCUGUCCUUAAGGGGUUAAAGACAGACAGCGUUUGGAAAUAUGACAGGUAUUAAGGGUUUUUAAACUGGUGUUCUAGGAGGGAGGGGAAUAAAACAGUCAAACUAAGUCCAUAAAACAGUGUUUUUCUUCACACUCUGCAUCCGAAGUGCAUAGCAAAACUGCAGAUCCUUUGUCAGAGCAUUUAAAGGGCCAGAACCAGUCUAAUAAAAUCCACUAUGCUCAAAUAACAUACAGUUCAAAUACAGGCAAUAAUCAAUGCAAAAGUCUCUUGUGGCUGCUUCUGCCACAAUGCUCCCCCAGAACCAAGCCGGCAUACACAGUCUGAUCCCAACGGAUCGGCUUGGGGAUGUCCGGGAGAGUGCUCACAGAUAAUUUCUCGAGUUCUGUCUGUCUGGACAACCCGUCGGCGUUACCAUUUUGUUUCCCUGGGCGAUACUGGAUGGUGAAAUCAAAUGGUUGUAGUGCCAAGCUCCAUCUCAGUAGUCUAGCGUUGUCCCCUGACACCCGGUUUAGCCACACCAACGGGUUGUGAUCUGUGAGCAAGGCAAAUUGUUGUCCAUAUAAGUAGGGCUGGAGUUUCUUGAGGGCCCACACCACCGCCAGGCAUUCCUUUUCGAUGGCGGCAUAGCUUACUUCCCUGGGUCAUAGUUUCCGACUUAAGUAAGCGACUGGAUGCUCGCCGCCAUCGGCCCCAACUUGGCUCAGCACUGCUCCCAAUCCAAACAUAGAAGCGUCUGUAUGAACGAGAAAGCGUUUAGUUGGAUCGGGAGCAGCCAGUACAGGGGCAUGAAUUAGGGCAGUUUUCAGUUCUUGGAAUGCCUUCUCACACUCUGGGCUCCAGGUCACUACUUUGGGUAAGUUCUUUUUGGUGAGGUCAGUAAGGGGCUUGGCUUGGGCACUAUAAUUAGGUACAAAUUUACGGUAAUACCCGGCGGUCCCUAGAAAAGCUAAAACCUGAGUUUUCGUGCGAGGGGUUGGCCACUUAGCUAUGGCCUCUAUCUUAGCGGGUUCUGGCUUUUGCUGCCCACUGCCCACCCUGUGGCCUAAGUACUGCACUUCGGCCAUCCCUACGUGGCACUUGCUGGGUUUUAACGUGAGACCUGCCUCCCUGAUGCGGUCGAGGAUGGCUCCUAUAUGGGUCAAGUGCUCGUCCCAGGAGUUGCUAAAUAUUGCUAUGUCAUCUAAAUAGGCGCAAGCAUACUCCUGGGAUCCGUCCAGUAACUGGUCCACCAUCCGCUGAAACGUAGCCGGCGCAUUCUUCAUCCCGAAUGGCAUCACCUUGAAUUGGUGUAGCCCAAACGGGGUGACGAAUGCGGACUUUGGGAUGGCAUCCUCGGCUAGUGGGAUCUACCAGUACCCUUUGCACAAGUCUAUUGUGGUGAGGUACUGGCCCCUGGCCAUUUUAUCUAAGAGCUCAUCGAUUCGGGGCAUGGGAUAGGCAUCUGAAAUUGUUUUAUCAUUAAGUUUCCGGUAGUCGACGCAGAAGCGGGUGGUUCCGUCCCGCUUCGGUACCAGCACUACCGGAGAGGCCCAUGGGCUAUCUGAGUGUUCUAUCACUCCUAGUUGUAACAUUUCGUCAAUCUCCUUCCGCAUAUGAUCUUUUACGGAUUCGGGUAUGCGGUAGGGGGUUUGUCGAAGAUGGUGUUGCCCUGGGGUUUCUAGCCUGUGGGUAGCCAGCGGGGUAUAGCCGGGCUGGUUGGAGAAUGUAUCCCCUUUUUCCCGGAUCAGCUCUAGUAUUUGAGCUCGCUCUCUAGUGCUCAGCCUGUCUCCUAGCUGUACUUCCCCUAAUUCGGUGUUGGCCCCCCCCUUGGGCUAAUAGGUCUGGUAGGGGUAGAUUAUCCGGGUACUCUGCGGUCGAGGCACAUAUGGCAGUUACUUCUUCGGUCCGCUCGUGAUAGGGUUUCAGCAUGUUAACGUGGAGCAUGCGUCUACCGCCUGCUCCUGUACAUGGGGCAAUUAUAUAGGUGGUGUCACAUACCUGUUCCACCACCUUAUAAGGGCCCUGCCAGGAGGCCUGCAGUUUGUCAUUUUGGACUGGCUUCAAGAUUAACACCUUUUGUCCUAUUUGAAAACUGCGGUCUCUGGCUCCCCUAUCGAACCAUCUGCGCUGUCGUUGCUGGGCAGCCUGGAGAUUAGACCGUACCGUCUGGAUUAGGGUCUCCAAGCGUUCCCUGAACUCUAGUACAUAUGGGACGAUAGGGGUACCGUUACUGGUGACUGUUCCCUCCUAGUGUUCCCUAAUGAGGUCUAAGGGACUCUGCACUCUCCUUCCGAAUAGUAAUUCGAAUGGCGAGAACCCCGUGGACUCCUGGGGUACCUCUCGGUACGCGAAGAGCAGAUGGGGAAGAAACCUUUCCCAGUCCUUCUGGGUAUCCAUGAAGGUACGGAGCAUUUGCUUUAAGGUUCCGUUGAACCGUUCACAGAGCCCAUUGGACUGGGGGUUAUACGCUGAGUUUACAAUAGGUUUCACCCCACAUGUUCUCCAUAACUGAUGAGUGACUUCGGCUGUGAAUUGGGUACCCCGAUCUGAGAUAAUCUCUUUGGGGAACCCCAUUCUGGAGAAUAUCCGGAUUAGGGCAUCUACUAUAGUCUCCGCAUGGAUAUUAGUUAGGGCUACGGCCUCUGGGUACCGGGUGGCAUAGUCUACUACGGUUAGUAUAUACUUCUUCCUUGACGGGCUGGGUUUUGCUAGGGGUCCGAUUAUAUCUACUGCCACUCUACUGAAGGGUUCAUCUAUUAUGGGUAGGGAGUGCAUUUUUGCCUUGUACCGGUCCCCUCUCUUCCCUACUCUCUGGCAUGUGUCACAAGUUUGGCAAUACUGCUGAAUAUCUUUGGAGACCCCUGGCCAAAAGAAGUUUUGGGUCAAACGAUGCUUCGUCCUACUGACGCCUAGAUGUCCUGAUAAAGGAAUGUCAUGGGCAAUACGUAGUAAUUCUUGCCUGUACUUUCGGGGCACGACUAAUUGUGUGAGGGUCAUGGGUACAAAUCCUGCUACUACCUUCUCAGCAUAUCUAUGUAAUAAUCCUUUCUCCCAAGCGUAUCUUUCCCCCUCUAACCCUGCCUGAUUCUGUGUAGCCCUAUCCCGGUAUACCUGCAGGGACGGGUCGGUGACUACUUCAGUACCAAAUUCUAAGGGGGGAGCCCAGGGGACGAAAGGUGGGUCAGUACUGUUACUUACCGGAGCCUCAGAGUGUUCAGAAGAUGCGGUGGUGCGGGCCUGCUGCCGUGUUAUCACGGGUAGCGCUUCCUGCGCGGGGUGCUGAGAAACAAAAGCGGAGGUCAGCUCCCCCAAGUCGUUACCCAGGAUGACAUCAGCUGGUAAGUCCUGCAUGAAGCCCACUUCCACAUUCCCCGACCCCGCUCCCCAAUCCAAAUGUACAUUAGCAGUGGGAAUUUUGUAAAUCGCUCCCCCUGCCACCCGGACUGCCACAUAUUCUCCAGUGAGCUGGUGCUUGGGGACUAGGUGAUUGCGAACCAGGGUUAUGGUGGCCCCAGAAUCGCGCAGACCCUGAAGGCGUUUUCCCUCUACGUGUACCCCUUGGCGGUGUCCCUGUCGGUUGUCUGCAGCUGCUUGUACUGGGUUAACCUCGUGGAGGGUGCUCAAAGAUUCUUCAUUAGACCGGGUCCCGAAGAAAGGUUGUCGAGGCUCACUCUGGUAGCAGCGUACUGCUGCCCGGUUUGCAGGGGAAUUAGUUGGAGUAUUCCACAUGGAGCGGUUUCUGUUUUUGGGAAAGUCUCUCUGCAUGUGGCCCUGCUGGUUACACGUGUGGCACCUGAUGAAAGAUCGGGCAUUGUUGUACCGUGGAGGGGUUUGGUAGUUCCCACCACCCGGACGCAGUGCUGGGGUGGGGUUAAUGGUGGGAGGUGGGUUAGCAGCUCCCAAGAUGGACCGUGCCUGUGCUCGCUGUGCCCUCCUGGCAUCUUGGUACUCGUCUGCCCACCUGGCGGCGUCAGUUAAGAUGCGCGGUUUCUGAUCCCUCAGCCAGUUUUGUAAAUCCGGGGUUAACCCCUGGAAAAAUUGCUCCAGUAGCAGUAAUUGUAGCAUGUCCUCCACUGUGGUUGCUUGUGCGGCUUGCACCCAACUGCCCUAGUUAAGUGGUGUGCCCACUCCAUGUGAGUAUCUUUCUCAGUCUUUCGGCUUUCUCGGAACCGCUGCCGGUAUGCCUCCGGGGUAAUUGCAUACCUGUCCAGGAUCGCCUGCUUUACUUUCUGGUAGUCUCUUCUAUCCUCGUCUGGCAUGGUGCGGUAGGCUUCUGCUGCCCGGCCCACUAGCUUACCCACCAACAGGGGUACCUGGUCGGCAGCGUUGAUCUCAUGUAAUUGGCAUAACCUCUCAAAGUCAUGCAAGUAGCCAUCGAUGUCUUCGGUCUCCACAUAGUUUUUAAAAGCAUGGUACGGGAUUUUAGGCUUCCCCGGUACUAUGUGUGGUGUGAUUAGGGACCCCGCUCUGGACCUCCGGUCUGCCCGCUGCUUUUCCAUUAUGUAUUCGUGGACAUCUGCCAUAAUCCUUUCCAAGGUUUCUGUGGGAGGCGUACCUGGGAAAAAGGCCAGUCUGCUUUGGAGUUCUCUUCCAAACUCAUUCUGUGUGCUGUCCAUAAGAGGUGCUGCAGCAGCUGCCCGGUCUCCCUCCAUGAGUUCAGCAAUAAGGGUAGCUUUGGUUUUAUUGCUGGCAAUAAUUCCCCUUGCUUCCAAUAGUUCUUUUAGCGUGGCCCGUUUCAAGUUGGUAUAGUCUGUCCCCGUUCACUAUCCGUUCGGGUAUAUUCACAUACCCUUUCCUUUCGGUUCCAUACGAAAUAGCAAAUUUCCCAAAUGGCUGUAACUGCCGAACAAUGGUCUGCUGUGAGGUUUGAAUCCCGUCGCUGCCACCAAUUGUGACGGACCCGCUGGCACUCUGACCGAGUACCUCCGUCAAUCGAUGCUCCUAGUGCUUGCCGAGGACUUCAAGCACUCCAACCGACACCAUCAGCACUGCAGACUUAUCCCAUCCCCCAAGCAUGAGCCAAGGCUUCAAGAAAGGGUCAAGCAGGUCUGUUUUAAUGAGCACACAAAGCAACAGCACUCACGCAGCAAAACAACUCCUCCUCAGAGGAAAACAAACUGACAGUUAACAGCGUUUGGAAAUAUGACAGUUAUUAAGGGUUUUUAAACUGGUGUUCUAGGAGGGAGGGGAAUAAAACAGUCAAACUAAGUCCAUAAAACAGGGUUUUUCUUCACACUCUGCAUCCGAAGUGCACAGCAAAACUGCAGAUCCUUUGUCAGAGCAUUUAAAGGGCCAGAACCAGUCUAAUAAAAUCCACUAUGCUCAAAUAACAUACAGUUCAAAUACAGGCAAUAAUCAAUGCAAAAGUCUCUUGUGGCUGCUUCUGCCACAGUCUGGUAUAGAGGCACUGAGGGCAGGAGUGUGGGGUGUCAGCGAGGUCUGGUAUAGAGGCACUGAGGGCAGGAGGGUGGUAUAACAGGGAGGUCUGGUAUAAGGGCACUGAGGGUAGGAGUGUGGGGUGUCCGCGAGGUCUGGUAUAGAGGCACUGAGGGCUGGAGGGUGGUAUAACAGGGAGGUCUGGUAUAAGGGCACUGAGGGUAGGAGUGUGGGGUGUCCGCGAGGUCUAGUAUAGGGGCAGUGAGGGCUGGAGUGUGGUGUACCAGGGAGGUCUGGUAUAGAGGCACUGAGGGCAGGAGUGUGGGGUGUCAGCGAGGUUUGGUAUAGAGGUACUGAGGGCUGGAGGGUGGUGUACCAGGGAGGUCUGGUAUAGAGGCACUGAGGGCAGGAGUGUGGGGUGUCCGAUAGGUCUGGUAUAGGGGCAGUGAGGGCUGGAGUGUGGUGUACCAGGGAGGUCUGGUAUAGAGGCACUGAGGGCAGGAGUGUGGGGUGUCCGCGAGGUCUGGUAUAGGGGCAGUGAGGGCUGGAGUGUGGUGUACCAGGGAGGUCUAGUAUAGAGGCACUGAGAUCAGGAGUGUGGGGUGUCCGCGAGGUCUGGUAUAGGGGCAGUGAGGGCUGGAGUGUGGUGUACCAGGGAGGUCUGGUAUAGAGGCACUGAGGGCAGGAGUGUGGGGUGUCCGAUAGGUCUGGUAUAGGGGCAGUGAGGGCUGGAGUGUGGUGUACCAGGGAGGUCUGGUAUAGAGGCACUGAGGGCAGGAGUGUGGGGUGUCCGCGAGGUCUGGUAUAGGGGCAGUGAGGGCUGGAGUGUGGUGUACCAGGGAGGUCUGGUAUAGAGGCACUGAGAUCAGGAGUGUGGGGUGUCCGCGAGGUCUGGUAUAGGGGCAGUGAGGGCUGGAGUGUGGUGUACCAGGGAGGUCUGGUAUAAGGGCACUGAGGGUAGGAGUGUGGGGUGUCCGCGAGGUCUAGUAUAGGGGCAGUGAGGGCUGGAGUGUGGUGUACCAGGGAGGUCUGGUAUAGAGGCACUGAGGGCAGGAGUGUGGGGUGUCAGCGAGGUUUGGUAUAGAGGUACUGAGGGGUGGAGGGUGGUGUACCAGGGAGGUCUGGUAUAGGGGCAGUGAGGAUUUUGAAUAAAUUGGGUUAUAACUCCAUGCCAGGCAUUACAUGGACUAAUAUGGAGCUGGUCCCUCCCUGCACUUACACUACAGUAGCCUCGUUAAUGUAAUUAAUCUGGGCCUGGACUUGCAGGACUCCUUUUCCAGAGGAAGCAGACGUACUGUUACCCACGUCCAUCACACCUGCAGAGCUCAGGUUUCCCAUUUCUACUGCCAGACCUUUGGCCUCAUUUAAUGGCAGUCCCCAGGGUGUCGAAUGCCUAGCUAUGGGGGCCACGGGAUUUUAGGCUUCCCCGUUACUAUGUGUGGUGUGAUUAGGGACCCCGCUCUGGACCUCCGGUCUGCCCGCUGCUUUUCCAUUAUGUAUUCGUGGACAUCUGCCAUAAUCCUUUCCACGGUUUCUGUGGGAGGCGUACCUGGGAAAAAGGCCAGUCUGCUUUGGAGUUCUCUUCCAAACUCAUUCUGUGUGCUGUCCAUAAGAGGUGCUGCAGCAGCUGCCCGGUCUCCCUCCAUGAGUUCAGCAAUAAGGGUAGCUUUGGUUUUAUUGCUGGCAAUAAUUCCCCUUGCUUCCAAUAGUUCUUUUAGCGUGGCCCGUUUCAGGUUGGUAUAGUCUGUCCCCGUUCACUAUCCGUUCGGGUAUAUUCACAUACCCUUUCCUUUCGGUUCCAUACGAAAUAGCAAAUUUCCCAAAUGGCUGUAACUGCCGAACAAUGGUCUGCUGUGAGGUUUGAAUCCCGUCGCUGCCACCAAUUGUGACGGACCCGCUGGCACUCCGACCGAGUACCUCCGUCAAUCGAUGCUCCUAGUGCUUGCCGAGGACUUCAAGCACUCCAACCGACACCAUCAGCACUGCAGACUUAUCCCAUCCCCCAAGCAUGAGCCAAGGCUUCAAGAAAGGGUCAAGCAGGUCUGUUUAAUGAGCACACAAAGCAACAGCACUCACGCAGCAAAACAACCCCUCCACAGAGGAAAACAAACUGACAGUUAAAGACAGACAGCGUUUGGAAAUAUGACAGUUAUUAAGGGUUUUUAAGCUGGUGUUCUAGGAGGGAGGGGAAUAAAACAGUCAAACUAAGUCCAUAAAACAGGGUUUUUCUUCACACUCUGCAUCCGAAGUGCAUAGCAAAACUGCAGAUCCUUUGUCAGAGCAUUUAAAGGGCCAGAACCAGUCUAAUAAAAUCCACUAUGCUCAAAUAACAUACAGUUCAAAUACAGGCAAUAAUCAAUGCAAAAGUCUCUUGUGGCUGCUUCUGCCACAGUCUGGUAUAGAGGCACUGAGGGCUGGAGGGUGGUAUAACAGGGAGGUCUGGUAUAAGGGCACUAAGGUCAGGAGUGUGGGGUGUCCGCGAGGUCUGGUAUAGGGGCAGUGAGGGCUGGUGUGUGGUGUACCAGGGAGGUCUGGUAUAGAGGCACUGAGGGCAGGAGUGUGGGGUGUCAGCGAGGUCUGGUAUAGAGGCACUGAGGGCUGGAGGGUGGUGUACCAGGGAGGUCUGGUAUAAGGGCACUGAGGGAAGGAGUGUGGGGUGUCCGUGAGGUCUGGUAUAGGGGCAGUGAGGGCAGGAGUGUGGUGUACCAGGGAGGUCUGGUAUAGAGGCACCGAGGGCUGGAGGGUGGUGUACCAGGAAGGUCUGGUAUAAGGGCACUGAGGGCAGGAGUGUGGGGUGUCCGCGAGGUCUGGUAUAGGGGCAGUGAGGGCUGGAGUGUGGUGUACCAGGGAGGUCUGGUAUAGAGGCACUGAGGGCAGGAGUGUGGGGUG
rnacentral:lncRNA from 1 species